ACUGUUAAGGCUUGGUUUCCGCAAUAGAACCUGCAAAGAGAGCUUCACGGAAAAUACUCAGGUAACUCUUUUGUCAUGGACAGAAAGUCGCUGCUGCCCAUCCACAAGUUCAUUUACCAAAUUCUAGUUUAUUUUGCAGGCUCAAGUCAUUGGGGUGUGUUUGGUACGUGGAUGGGUCAAGCAAGAAUAUCCCACGAGAUUAUUUUAUCUCACCUUUUUUUUUUGAAGUUUUUUUGACAAAGGUAAAGUUGUAUUCCUCAACAAUGAGGGUAUGCGGAGGCACGAGCUUCUGCAUAAUUUAUCUUCG
rnacentral:lncRNA from 1 species